rnacentral:rRNA from 1 species
AUGCGAAUUCCACAACGAUCACGAGAGGUGCAUAAACAUCCAAAUGCACAUGAUCAAGUUAAUGUUCCUAUACCAUCAUUUAAUGGCCGUUUUAGACCCGCUUUAUAUAUUGAAUGGGAGUUCUACAUAAAUAAUAUAUUUGCUUCCCAUAAUUUUGUUGAAUAUAAAAAAGUUAAGGUUGCGGUUGGUUCUUUCACUGGUUAUGCUUUAGUUUGGUGGAGUGAAUAUUGUCGGUUACACCCUGAUUAUAUACCUAUUACUUGGGAUGAUUUGAAACUUGCCAUGCGACAUACAUUCGUGCCCGCUUAUUAUACUCGUGACAUGAUUCAAAAGUUGCAACAUUUAAAACAAGGUAGUGACACUGUAAUGAAAUAUUAUGAUGAUUUACAAACUACCUUGUUGCAUUCCUCUUUAGAAAAAACUGAAGAUGAUUUUAUGGAUAGAUUUUGGGGAGGAUUAAACCGUGACAUUCAGGAGAUACUAAUUCAUGAAAAGUGUUAUCCUAUGGACCGUUUGUUUCGUCUUGCUUGCAAAGCUGAACAGGAGAUAACAAGACGUGUUGCCCAGAAGGCAAACAAGCAGAAGGUGCAAAUCCCAAGAGUUGUGACGGUUGUUCCUUCCACCACUGCGCCUACUAUGACAACAACAUCCAUUGUUGUGAGCACUACAUCACCUCCACCACGUGACCUGUCGCCACCUAGAGUGCCUACAUCAUCUGAGUUAACCAAAAUAGGUAAUGACAAAGGUAUUAAUCUUCCACCUUCACACGAGUAUGAUGAAUGCCUUGUUAAUUUAAAUGCACCAUGCCAUGAGCUACUUACUACUUUGAUCACACCAGCUAUUUUAGAGGACUCUGUUGAUGAUUUGAUUUUGCCAUGUGAUCAAACAAUUUGA